CCCUUAUUAUGUUUUAUGUGUCAUCGGGACAGUAGAGUCGUAGAUCACCUUGCUGGUAUACCUUGGCCAUUUUUGCAUUCCACCGUCUUGUUGACAAAAACAGACCGAAAUCCACGAGGUUCUGAUUUCGUGUCGUGUCAUUUCUAAAAAAAAAUUCCAGUGACGUGCAUAAGGCGAACCAGUUUCGUGUAUCCGUGUAGACAGGCACCAUCCCAUGUAUUUGAUUCUGUUUCUGUAUGUAUUUGGUAGAUGUUCUCUACGUGUGCCCUAAUAUGCUCGUUUCCGGACGCAAAGUGGCAAUCCGGAAGAAAACGCCGACAGCCAGCGAGAGCCGCAGGGACAUAUCCUCAAGCUACUCGUUUUCGACGGAAGUUUCUUCGUUUGCCUGCAAGUCAGCUAACUGAUGGCUUACAGGGGGUGCUAGUCCUCGCGUUGUGAGGCUAACAGCGGAGAAAAAGAAUAGUAAAAGAGGUUGGUAACUGUCUAACUGGUCGCUCCUUAAGCAGGAUUCAUUGCCAAUCGGGCGGCAAUAAAUCGUCGAACGGCUGACGCGCUCACCAUACGUGCCCUUUUCUGACGUCGCACAUCGUCGGCCCGGACUCCAUCCGUCAGCAGCUACAUUACUAGCACAAUAUACACACACAGCCCUUACUGAGAGACUCAACUGUACACACCUUUCGGCUGUGUCGAGCCCUAUAUAUAUACAAGUGCUUUUUAGAGCUCAACUAAUCCGACCUCUCUGCUCGAUGAUAAUGGGCUGUUUGGGAUACACGGGACUCGUCUGACUUUGCUCGCCUUCUUUUUCCGCCUAUGGAUUUUAUUUGAUUUUCUUCCUCUUUUGCUUCUUAUUUUUACGAUGCUCGAAAUGUCUCUCGUCACUGUCGGCGUGCGAGCUCCUGUUAACGGCCGUCAACAUCUUUCAACCCCCUUCCCGCCCCUCGUCUUGGUCGUCUUUGAAAGAGAAAAAAGAAAAAAAGGGGGGAAAAAAAAAUUGACGGCAUCUGAGAUUGUCGCCAACUACGAGGCAGAUUUUUCUUUCUUUCUUAUACUUUUACGCUUCUCUGCUCCUCAUCCUUGUAAAUGGGAUGAAGGCCAAAAAAUAUUGUAAUGAGAUUCAGCCUAGACGUGUAUGCAAAUUGUCUAACUUGCGCGCAUCCGCUACUAAGCAGCGCACGACAUAGUACAGGAUUCGUAUUAAAUAGCACCCGUGAAUGACUGCAAAUUUUUUUAGUGAAAGAUUUAAGCGUAUCAUUCAUUUGAAUUUGGAAUGAAUGAAAGAAGAAAGCAGAAAGAAAAAUAAAUGUCAAUUUCGUUCGGCUUUUGCUGUCUGUGAAGUGAUGAACUGUCGGCUCGAACUGUGGAUAAUCCACGCUGAUUGUAUGCAUAAAUGAUAAGUUUAGAUUUCCCUGCGCGUUUCUUUCUUCAAGCACAAUAUCGCGCUCGGUUCACAUCUGGGGCGUUUCUGAGCGCCACAGUUAAAGUAAAGCAACAACAGAUUUCUUCAUAUCUAUUUUGACAUACCGUACACAGUCACAAAUAGGAUAAGUAAUAUGGGCCGCCUGUUCUGGCAGUAUGUUUGCUGUCAGACUAUACAAUCUAACGUGGCGAAGGACAUUUUUGCGACAUGUUGCUGUGCUAGAUCAACCAGCCAUUGGGGGAAUCGGUGAAUGAAUUUAUCAAGCUCUUGAACCGAUCAAGUCAUUUAUUCUAUACCAUCUGUUCACAGCAAUAGUAUUGGUCGACAUAUUUGACAGGCAUUGGCUACCCUGUAUAAAUGCAGGAUAAAAAAAAAUCAAAAAAAUGUGUGGUAUGGGGGAGGUAGUCUUGGCCUUGCAGAACUGAGUCGUUGGAAUUAGCCAUCUGGUUACGAAUGCUAUUGAUUAUUGAAAAGAGCGAGCGAGAAGGGGAGCCAGAAGUCACAACAUUAGCGAUGAGAGGAAUUUGAUUACCCAACGGCUGUCGAAUUGACUCGUCGCAAUAAUGACAAUUUGCGACGGAUGGCAUUAAUUUCGUCAACUAUUCUUGCCGUCGUUUCGUUUUUAAGCAGUUUUUUUUUUUUUUCGUUUUUUAAGCUAUCGUUUGUGACUACGUUCGCCAAUACGUCAAUCGGGUGGGUCAUUUUGAUUUUUGGUGUGGUUCUGACAGAUCGCAGAUCGUUUAUUUUCUUACCCAUGGGUAAACAUAUCCAAACCGGUUCCAAACAAAAAAAAGGAAUCAGAUCCUAGAACCAGUUCCUGGACCCCGAUCUAAAAACCGUUUACACCGCUUUUUUACCCCAUUUACCCGGACUUCUGCCCUGACUUCUAGCCAAAUAUAUUACCAUUGUUCAAACCCUUGUUUGGCACUUUUAAAUUUUUUAUAAAAAAAAAAAAAAAAAAAAGAAUAAAAUGUUAAUGGAAAAAUUCAAGCUUAUCUUUUAAUAAAACUGAGAUUGAUUGAUAAUUUAUUUUUUUUUGUGAAUCAAGUAUGUAGAAAAUAAAGCUA